rnacentral:rRNA from 1 species
UACGGGGGGGGCAAGCGUUGUUCGGAAUUACUGGGCGUAAAGGGCUCGUAGGCGGCCAACUAAGUCAGACGUGAAAUCCCUCGGCUUAACCGGGGAACUGACAUCUGAUACUGGAUGGCUUGAGUUCGGGAGAGGGAUGCGGAAUUCCAGGUGUAGCGGUGAAAUGCGUAGAUAUCUGGAGGAACACCGGUGGCGAAGGCGGCGAUCCUGGACCGACACUGACGCUGAGAGCGGAAAGCCAGGGGAGCAAACGGGAUGAGAACCCAGACGCA